rnacentral:lncRNA from 1 species
UGAAGGGUCAAAAAGGCAAAGGGUGUUUUAGAAGUUUAGCAGACAGCUUUUGGUACAAGGAAAAGAGAGGGAGAGCUGGAGAGAGGGAAACAGGGUGAAGAGGCAGGAAUCUGGCUCGCAUUAAGCUGGGAGGUUCCAACCAUUGAUUCGCUCUGGAAUUAUGGCUUAAAAAAAUUGCAAGACAUGGUUUAUUCAUGAGGGUUCUUUUUUUUUCUUAAGUAGCCACCCAAAGUUACACUUUGGUUCACCAAGACGAAGACUCAUCCUUCCUCUCUCUAUGGAUCUUUCAGAUGAAGAAAUUAAGGCUCAGGAGGGAGGAAAAAAAUAAAAGAAAGAAUUGUCCAAGGUCACCAAGGCAUCUGGACUCCCAUAUGUUGAGCUACUUCUGCUUGUGGGGCAGCUGCAAUACAUGAAUUCUUCACUACAGGACUCAUUCUUGGAGCCCAGUCUCCAUACUGUGAGGAAGCCCAAAAGGCACACACUAACAGAACACGUGGAAAAGCUUCAGCCUCGUGUAGAUGUUCUGGUCAACAUCCCAGUUGAUGUCACAGCCAACAGCCUGCAUCAAGUGCCUGACACGUGAGUGAUGACACCUCCAGAUGAUUCCAGCCCCUAGCCAUUGGAUCACCCCCAGCUGUCAAAUCUUCCAGCUGAGGCCCCAGACAUUGUGGGGCAGAGACAAGCUGUUCCCAUUGUGCCCCAUCCAAAUUCCUGACCCACAGAAUGAAUGAGCAUAAAUAAAAUGGUUGUCUUAUGCCAUUAAGUCUUGUAGUGGUUUAUUAUAUAGCAGUAGUAACUAGAACACUUAUGAUUAAUUGAUAAUAUAUAUUACUUAUCCCAAUAGACAAAUCAUCAAACAUUACCAUUCCCCAAGAAAGUAGGGAGUAGGGGAGUCCCCAGAUUUUCUU